GAUUUCGUCUGGGCCAUUGAUAACGGCGCACCGCAAGCGGCGGUCGUGUUGUUUAUCUCCGAACGGAUAAACGUGAAAUGUGUCUUAAAUAUUAACGGAAAAAGUAUUUUUUAUGGUCAGUGUUUGCGGUUGGGUUUUGGAGUUGAAAAAGUAACGUUCUGUAGGCUGUUCCCAAUGGGUAUACCUACUCUGCGACACUUUCGUUUACCGGCGUUGUGGAAGUUCUGGCGUCUCAUGAAGUCCACAAUUGAUUUUCCUGCGGCCAUCGAAAAAUCUCUGCGGUUAAGUUAUUCAUUUUGAUGUUGAUUAACGGAUAGUUUGCUUUCUAAUGUUACCACUUGAUUUUUCUACGUUGGAUUCACCAAUUUGAGAAGACUGUCAAUCGGUGAUACCGAUACAAGCCAAAUAUUUUGACCAGUAUUGUGUCUGUUGAUUUCCAUGCCUGCCGAAAAAUGAUAAGAAUGUCAAAUUGGAUGCAAGAUCACUUUGUUGAUGUUACAAACUCAUUUAGCAAAUUAUAAAACUAAUAACUUAUUUACAUUUUUAACUGCCAAUUUUUAAAUAAUUGUAUGUAUGAUUGUUGAUGUAAAAUAUUUCAAGAUGCAUUUUCAAUAUUUUUUGUACUGUAAUUCGAAUAUUACACUUUGGUUAGAUUAGAUUAACUUAUAAUUUGUGCUAUUCAUUCUAUUAUAACUAAUUUAGGUACAUUUCAUUUGUUUUUUACUAUUGAGUUCACAGGAUACACAAACAUAUAAUUUUUCUACAAUUUUGGACUUCUGACAAACCAGCAGACCUCUUUAGUAUACCGCGUGUACCUUUCAUGAUUAAAUUCUAAUUCUAAUUCUAAACGUACAAUACCAAAUACUGACAUAGAUAUGAUUUCUCAACAGAUUACGAUUCUAAUGACCAAUAUCUAGACAUAUUAUAUAGUAUAGGUACUACACUUAAACAAGUUUUGUUUCGCAAAACACCAUACCACACAUUUAGCCGACUGACCUCUAAACAUUUCUUUCUGUUUUAUACCAUUGCUUACCAAGCCCGUAAAGUAAGCAACACCACAUACUUGAUUUUCAACAUAUCAUUCAAGUAAAAAAAAAAUUGUUUUUAAAUUGAUAUUACAUAAUGAAAAAUAAAAUUAUAUUGAAAUUUUUAAUUAUGAUCAUUUAGUAGGAUGAACUAUUGGUUAGCCAUCUAAAAAAAUAUCAAUUUAUGGAUUUAAAUAUAUGGAUUAAAAAAUAUGAAUGUAUAUUAAUUUAUCUAUUACAUAGAAAAUAUGUCACUGGAUAAGUAUAAAAUAAUAUAGGUAUUUGAUUUGAUGCACUGAA